UUUAUCGUACACACCCGGCCCCAGCCGUGAAGGGAGGAGGCUGGUGUGUUAUUUUUGUGUUUUUUGAGGCGAAUUAUCCUGUUGCCGAGGGAGCCAUGCAUCUGGAAACGGCUGGGGAAGGAGACGGUGGCUGAGUGGUUAGCGUGCCGGUCCUGCGUUCGCCGCAUCAUGGAUGAGGAGGGUUUGAAUCCACCACUGCCACAGUCUACCUGUCCUGAAGACCACCACCAUCAUCCUGGACUGUAUGGGACUGUCCAAGGGAAAGCAAGAUGGGGCCGCUAUAAACACUUGCCGGCUUGGGCCCACCACCAUGCCCAGCCAAGGGAGGUUGGUGUAGCAGUGCUGGGAGGUUCCAUAACACAGGGCACUCCUCACCUCAACAACAGUCUCUUCACCGACAACUAAUUCUUCACCAACAAGCUUUUCAGCAGCUUGGAGAAAUAGAGGAAGAAGAGGAGGAAGAAGAAGAGAAGAUGAAGAGGAAGAGGAGGAGGAGGAUAAGGACUUGGUGAGUGU